rnacentral:tRNA from 1 species
GGCUCAAUGGUCUAGAGGUAGGAUUCUUGCUUUGGGCACUGUGUGAAUGCACUGGGUGCAACUGCAAGAGGUCCCGGGUUCGAUCCCCGGUUGAGCCC